AUUGAACGCUGGCGGCAGGCCUAACACAUGCAAGUCGAGCGAGCGGCGGACGGGUGAGUAAUGUAUGGGGAUCUGCCCGAUAGAGGGGGAUAACUACUGGAAACGGUAGCUAAUACCGCAUACUAUCGGAUGAGCCCAUAUGGGAUUAGCUAGUAGGUGGGGUAAAGGCUCACCUAGGCGACGAUCCCUAGCUGGUCGGAGAGGAUGAUCAGACAAACUGGAACUGAGACACGGCCCAGACUCCUACGGGAGGCAGCAGUGGGGAAUAUUGGACAAUGGGCGAAAGCCUGACCGAGCAACGCCGCGUGUGUGAAGAAGGCUUUCGGAUCGUAAAACUCUGUUAGUAGGGAGGGGAUCUAACGAGAAAGCAACGGCUAACUACGUGCCAGCAGCCGCGGUAAUUC
rnacentral:rRNA from 1 species